UACGAAGGGGGGCUAGCGUUGCUCGGAAUUACUGGGCGUAAAGGGAGCGUAGGUGGACUGUUUAGUCAGAGGUGAAAGCCCAGGGCUCAACCUUGGAAUUGCCUUUGAUACUGGCAGUCUUGAGUACGGAAGAGGUAUGUGGAACUCCGAGUGUAGAGGUGAAAUUCGUAGAUAUUCGGAAGAACACCAGUGGCGAAGGCGGCUCACUGGUCCGGUUCUGACGCUGAGGCGCGAAAGCGUGGGGAGCAAACAGG
rnacentral:rRNA from 1 species